GUCCAUGCCGUAAACGAUGAUUACUAGGUGUUGGAGGAUUGACCCCUUCAGUGCCGCAGUUAACACAAUAAGUAAUCCACCUGGGGAGUACGACCGCAAGGUUGAAACUCAAAGGAAUUGACGGGGGCCCGCACAAGCAGUGGAGUAUGUGGUUUAAUUCGAAGCAACGCGAAGAACCUUACCAGGUCUUGACAUCCGAUGCAUAGCUUAGAGAUAAGUGAAGUCCUUCGGGACAUCGAGACAGGUGGUGCAUGGUUGUCGU
rnacentral:rRNA from 1 species